CCUUGCCUAUUUUUUGGAGCACCGUUCGUUUCCUCAGCAGGCUUGCCUGCUACUGGGGACCCCACAAACCCUUUGUAAAUACAGCAAUCGUCUGAAAAACAAACAAAAAAUCAAAACUUUCAACAAUGGAUCUCUUGGUUCUGGCAUCGAUGAAGAACGCAGCAAAAUGCGAUAAGUAGUGUGAAUUGCAGAAUUCAGUGAAUCAUCGAAUCUUUGAACGCACAUUGCGCCCUUUGGUAUUCCUUAGGGCAUGCCUGUUCGAGCGUCAUUUACACCCUCAAGCGCAGCUUGGUGUUGGGCGUCUGUCCCGCUNNUCGGCGCGGACUCGCCUCAAAACGAUUGGCAGCCACUCCAGCGGCUUCGAGCGCAGCAGAAUUGCGACUCUGGCCGCGGGGGUCGGCACCCACGAAGCAUCUUUUAUUUUGACCUCGGACCAGGUAGG
rnacentral:rRNA from 1 species